GGUGGCUCAGUGGUAGAGUGCUUGCCUAGCAUGCAUAAGGCACUGGGUUCAAUUCUCAGCACCA
rnacentral:tRNA from 1 species